rnacentral:rRNA from 1 species
AAAUCAGUUAUCGUUUAUUUCGAUAGUACCUUACUACAUGGAUAACCGUGGUAAUUCUAGAGCUAAUACAUGCUAAAAACCCCGACUUCGGAAGGGGUGUAUUUAUUAGAUAAAAAACCAAUGCCCUUCGGGGCUCCUUGGUGAAUCAUAAUAACUUAACGAAUCGCAUGGCCUUGCGCCGGCGAUGGUUCAUUCAAAUUUCUGCCCUAUCAACUUUCGAUGGUAGGAUAGUGGCCUACCAUGGUAUCAACGGGUAACGGGGAAUUAGGGUUCGACUCCGGAGAGGGAGCCUGAGAAACGGCUACCACAUCCAAGGAAGGCAGCAGGCGCGCAAAUUACCCAAUCCCGACACGGGGAGGUAGUGACAAUAAAUACUGAUACAGGGCUCUUUUGGGUCUUGUAAUUGGAAUGAGUACAAUUUAAAUCCCUUAACGAGGAACAAUUGGAGGGCAAGUCUGGUGCCAGCAGCCGCGGUAAUUCCAGCUCCAAUAGCGUAUAUUAAAGUUGUUGCAGUUAAAAAGCUCGUAGUUGAACCUUGGGCCUGGCUGGCCGGUCCGCCUCACCGCGUGUACUGGUCCGGCCGGGCCUUUCCUUCUGGGGAACCUCAUGCCCUUCACUGGGCGUGCUGGGGAACCAGGACUUUUACUUUGAAAAAAUUAGAGUGUUCAAAGCAGGCCUUUGCUCGAAUACAUUAGCAUGGAAUAAUAGAAUAGGACGUGUGGUUCUAUUUUGUUGGUUUCUAGGACCGCCGUAAUGAUUAAUAGGGAUAGUCGGGGGCAUCAGUAUUCAAGCGUCAGAGGUGAAAUUCUUGGAUUGCUUGAAGACUAACUACUGCGAAAGCAUUUGCCAAGGAUGUUUUCAUUAAUCAGUGAACGAAAGUUAGGGGAUCGAAGACGAUCAGAUACCGUCGUAGUCUUAACCAUAAACUAUGCCGACUAGGGAUCGGACGGUGUUA